AGAGUUUGAUUCUGGCUCAGGAUGAACGCUGGCGGCGUGCUUAAUACAUGCAAGUCGAACGAAGAUAUUUCGCUGAUGCGAUUCGUCAAAUCUUGAAAUAUCUUAGUGGCGGACGGGUGAGUAACGCGUGGGUAACCUGCCUUACACAGGGGGAUAACAGUUAGAAAUGACUGCUAAUACCGCAUAAGCGCACGGUAUCGCAUGAUACAGUGCGAAAAGAUUUAUCGGUGUAAGAUGGACCCGCGUCUGAUUAGCUAGUUGGUGAGGUAACGGCCCACCAAGGCGACGAUCAGUAGCCGGCCUGAGAGGGUGAACGGCCACAUUGGGACUGAGACACGGCCCAAACUCCUACGGGAGGCAGCAGUAGGGAAUAUUGGACAAUGGGGGCAACCCUGAUCCAAGCGACGCCGCGUGAGUGAAGAAGUAUUUCGGUACGUAAAGCUCUAUCAGCAGGGAAGAAAAUGACGGUACCUGACUAAGAAGCACCGGCUAAAUACGUGCCAGCAGCGGC
rnacentral:rRNA from 1 species